rnacentral:rRNA from 1 species
CAGUAGCCGCGGUAAUACGUAGGGUGCGAGCGUUAAUCGGAAUUACUGGGCGUAAAGCGUGCGCAGGCGGUUUGUUAAGACAGAUGUGAAAUCCCCGGGCUCAACCUGGGAACUGCAUUUGUGACUGGCAAGCUGGAGUAUGGCAGAGGGGGGUGGAAUUCCGCGUGUAGCAGUGAAAUGCGUAGAUAUGCGGAGGAACACCGAUGGCGAAGGCAGCCCCCUGGGCCAAUACUGACGCUCAUGCACGAAAGCGUGGGAGCAAACAGGAUUAGAUACCCCGGUAGUCCCUGUCUCUUAUACA